GAUGAACGCUAGCGAUAGGCUUAACACAUGCAAGUCGAGGGGCAGCAUGGUCUUAGCUUGCUAAGACUGAUGGCGACCGGCGCACGGGUGCGUAACGCGUAUGCAACUUGCCUCACAGAGGGGGAUAACCCGUCGAAAGACGGACUAAUACCGCGUACACUCCAUCUUGGGCAUCCAAGGUAGAGGAAAUGAAAUUCGCUGUGAGAUAGGCAUGCGUCCCAUUAGCUAGUUGGUGAGGUAACGGCUCACCAAGGCGACGAUGGGUAGGGGAACUGAGAGGUUGAACCCCCACACUGGUACUGAGACACGGACCAGACUACUACGGGAGGCAGCAGUGAGGAAUAUUGGUCAAGGGGCGAGAGCCUGAACCAGCCAAGUCGCGUGAAGGAUGACUGUCUUAUGGAUUGUAAACUUCUUUUAUACGGGAAUAACAAGAGUCACGUGUGACUCCCUGCAUGUACCGUAUGAAUAAGCAUCGGCUAACUCCGUG
rnacentral:rRNA from 1 species